rnacentral:rRNA from 1 species
UACGUAGGGUCCGAGCGUUGUCCGGAAUUACUGGGCGUAAAGGGCUCGUAGGCGGCCAACUAAGUCGGACGUGAAAUCCCUCGGCUUAACCGGGGAACUGCGUCCGAUACUGGAUGGCUUGAGUGUGGGAGAGGGAUGCGGAAUUCCAGGUGUAGCGGUGAAAUGCGUAGAUAUCUGGAGGAACACCGGUGGCGAAGGCGGCAUCCUGGACUACUACUGACGCUGAGGGAGCGAAAGCCAGGGGAGCAAACGGG